UAAGAGAAAGAUCAGUAAAUUUUGUUCUAAAAAAUAUCAUUGAAUUAUUUUGUACUUAUGUUGUCUACAUGGUACAUACUAAUAACUACAUGUAUGAUGGAUGGAUGAAUCAUAAUGAUUAGAUCUAUGAAACCUUAUGCCAUAUAAAACCACAAACCUUAUUAUCAUGUAGUCUUUAGUUGGUCACUGGUUCUGUUUGGAGUGUGUCAGUCCAAAAAUGUCAGCUAAUUAAGUUAUAUAAAUAUUAUUUGAAUGGUGAGUCAGACAAGAUGAUGCAGUUGAUUAAUGGAAGGAAAACUUAAAUUUAAACUGUAAACACACUGGAAAACUCUUUUGUACACUAUUGUUAUUGCUAGUCAUAAAGGGAAGGACAUGCAUGCACACAGAAAUAGUGAAGAUUCUUCUUGAAAAUGGUAAACUGAGAACGCCUAGAGAG